rfam:Salmo salar isolate Sally breed double haploid chromosome ssa19, whole genome shotgun sequence.
AAUGCACCAAUUUGUAAGUCGCUCUGGAUAAGCGCGUCUGCUAAAUGGCGUGAA